GAUGAACGCUGGCGGCGUGCCUAAUACAUGCAAGUCGAGCGAACGGACGAGAAGCUUGCUUUUCUGAUGUUAGCGGCGGACGGGUGAGUAACACGUGGAUAACCUACCUAUAAGACUGGGAUAACUUCGGGAAACCGGAGCUAAUAACGGAUAAUAUUUUGAACCGCAUGGUUCAAAAGUGAAAGACGGUCUUGCUGUCACUUAUAGAUGGAUCCGCGCUGCAUUAGCUAGUUGGUAAGGUAACGGCUUACCAAGGCAACGAUGCAUAGCCGACCUGAGAGGGUGAUCGGCCACACUGGAACUGAGACACGGUCCAGACUCCUACGGGAGGCAGCAGUAGGGAAUCUUGCGCAAUGGGCGAAAGCCUGAUGGAGCAAUGCCGCGUGAGUGAUGAAGGUCUUCGGAUCGUAAAGCUCUGUUAUUAGGAAAGAACAUAUGUGUAUGUAUCUGUGGACAUCUUGACGGUACCUAAUCAGAAAGCCACGGCUAACUACGUG
rnacentral:rRNA from 1 species